rnacentral:rRNA from 1 species
AGCAGCCGCGGUAAUUCCAGCUCCAAUAGCGUAUAUUAAAGUUGUUGCAGUUAAAAAGCUCGUAGUUGAAUUUCGGGAUUGGCGCAUCGGUCGUGCCUCACGGGGUAUGAACUGGUGCAGUCAAUUUCUCACCUUCUGGAGAACCGCGAUGUCCUUAAUUGGAUGCCGCGGGGAACCAGGACCUUUACUUUGAAAAAUUAGAGUGUUUAAAGCAGGCAUUUUUGCUUGAAUACAUUAGCAUGGAAUAAUAAAAUAGGACGGCAUGGUUCUAUUUUGUUGGUUUCUAGGACCACCGUAAUGAUUAAUAGGGAUAGUUGGGGGCAUUAGUAUUCAAUUGUCAGAAGUGAAAUUCUUGGAUUUAUUGAAGACUAACUACUGCGAAAGCAUUUGCCAAGGAUGUUUUCAUUAAUCAAGAACGAAAGUUAGGGGAUCGAAGACGAUCAGAUACCGUCGUAGUCUUAACCAUAAACUAUGCCGACUAGGAAUCAGACGAUGUUAAUUUUUAAUGACUCG